CGAACGCUGGCGGCGUGCCUAAUACAUGCAAGUCGAACACACUCUCGUUUAGAUUGAAGGAGUUUGCUCUGAUUGAUAACAUUUGAGUGAGUGGCGGACGGGUGAGUAACACGUGGGUAACCUGCCCUAAAGUGGGGGAUAACAUUUGGAAACAGAUGCUAAUACCGCAUAAAACCUAACACCGCAUGGUGUAGGGUUGAAAGAUGGUUUCGGCUAUCACUUUAGGAUGGACCCGCGGUGCAUUAGUUAGUUGGUGAGGUAAAGGCUCACCAAGACCGUGAUGCAUAGCCGACCUGAGAGGGUAAUCGGCCACACUGGGACUGAGACACGGCCCAGACUCCUACGGGAGGCAGCAGUAGGGAAUCUUCCACAAUGGACGAAAGUCUGAUGGAGCAACGCCGCGUGAGUGAAGAAGGUUUUCGGAUCGUAAAACUCUGUUGUUGGAGAAGAAUGUAUCUGAUAGUAACUGAUCAGGUAGUGACGGUAUCCAACCAGAAAGCCACGGCUAACUACGUG
rnacentral:rRNA from 1 species